UGGGGAAUAUUGCACAAUGGGCGCAAGCCUGAUGCAGCCAUGCCGCGUGUAUGAAGAAGGCCUUCGGGUUGUAAAGUACUUUCAGUCGGGAGGAAGGUGGUAAGGUUAAUAACCUUAUCAAUUGACGUUACCGACAGAAGAAGCACCGGCUAACUCCGUGCCAGCAGCCGCGGUAAUACGGAGGGUGCAAGCGUUAAUCGGAAUUACUGGGCGUAAAGCGCACGCAGGCGGUUGAUUGAGUCAGAUGUGAAAUCCCCGGGCUUAACCCGGGAAUUGCAUCUGAUACGGGCAAGCUUGAGUCUCGUAGAGGGGGGUAGAAUUCCAGGUGUAGCGGUGAAAUGCGUAGAGAUCUGGAGGAAUACCGGUGGCGAAGGCGGCCCCCUGGACGAAGACUGACGCUCAGGUGCGAAAGCGUGGGGAGCAAACAGG
rnacentral:rRNA from 1 species